ACAGAACUGGGCUGAUCAAACAGAUACAAGACAGGUGUGGAGGGAAAAUCAGGCUGGGGAAGUAAAACAGGAAGGGGGAAAGAGAAAACAAUGUAAACCUCAAAACCUAGAAAACAAAUGACAGGACCAUGACGGGAUGCUUUGGGGUGGAAGGUCUGGACUGUUUGAACUUUAAAAUCCUGGGUCGACAUAUUGAUACUUCAGGUACUAAACCCAGGAUCAGCAGAUUCCCAGCAGCGGUACCUCCGGUGUGGUUAUGAGCUCCACCGAGCACAAUUCUAUUCACAGCCGAUGAUGCAAACAGUGAAGGAUUAAACUGGGGUGGUGUGAACCUUAGACACGCACUGCCUCCUGGUGAAGCACACGGCGGCCAGGUGAAAAGAAGCAGCUGGGGGUUCGGUGCGUCAUGGAGGCAGCACAUUGUGUCUGCAAGGUCGCUAGUUAAGCUGGCAGUGGCAAUGCAUCCUGUUUGAUUGCUGUAGGCUGGAUUUACUCUUUACUGCUUGUGUUUGAAGACCUAAUGUUUCAUUUUUCUAAAGGUCUAGAGAUGAGGACGACAGUAAAGUAUCAUUACCUAACUUUA